rnacentral:rRNA from 1 species
UACGUAGGUGGCAAGCGUUGUCCGGAAUUAUUGGGCGUAAAGCGUGCGUAGACGGUUAUGUAAGUCGGGUGUGAAAGCCCCGGGCUCAACCUGGGAAUGCCAUUCGAGACUGCAUAGCUAGGGUGCGGAAGAGGGAAGCGGAAUUUCCGGUGUAGCGGUGAAAUGCGUAGAUAUCGGAAGGAACACCAGUGGCGAAAGCGGCUUCCUGGUCCAGCACCGACGUUCAGGCACGAAAGCGUGGGGAGCAAACAGG